rnacentral:rRNA from 1 species
UGUAGUAGAUUGACAUACUGAGAGCUCUUUCUUGAUUCUAUGGGUGGUGGUGCAUGGUUGUUCUUAGUUGGUGGAGCGAUUAGUCUAGUUAAUUCUGUUAACGAACGAGAACUCAGCCUGCUAAAUAGCUACGUGGAGGUAACCCUCCACGGAAGUUUGAGGCAAUAACAAGUUUGUGAUGUCCUUAGAU